GAGCAGUGGUUCUCAAGUAAGGCUAUUUUUUGGUUGUCACAGCAGUCACAACAGGCUGAGGAUUGCUACUAGCAUCAGCUGGUAGCUUUUGGGAAUCCUUGCUUUCUCCAGUAUAUUGGACACAGUGUUGACUGCUUAAUUUUGAAAUCAAACACAUGAACAUGCCACUCUCUUGUCUGGUUUGCA